rnacentral:sRNA from 1 species
GUUCUUCCAUUGCGGGGAAGGAUGAGAAGCUUCGACUAAGGUUCGAUUCGAGCGUAGCGAGAAAGCGUUGCCACAGGCAACGACCCGAAGGGCAAGGCGCAACGCGCCGGGUAAUCCUUCCCCCACCACCA